GGAGCCACGGUGCAGCCUGUCUGCUGAUACGAGCUCCUCAUGUGAACAUUUAAGGUUGUGAAGUUAUCUGUAGGUGAUGGGAUUGUCCCCAGCUCCCCAAGAGCCUCUGCACCCAUAAGGAUUCGGCCAGGGGCAAAGAGGGGGCACCCGAAACUCAAGUUUGUUUUUUACCAGUUACGUUCAGACAGAAAGAGAGACUGGAAAACAGACCUUACUCGUGGCAGUGGUGAUAGCGGCAAGACAGGGAUAUGUUUAGCUGGACAGUGCAGAUGCCCAGAGCUGAGGCUCCACGGAGAAAUCAGAACAAGCUGACAGACGGAGAUUGUGACUGUGGGGGAUUGAGGACUCUGUCAAGGGCUCUGGAUCCUUCAAGAUGGAAACUCCUCCAAAAGACACAGCUGCCCAUCAGGGCAGUGAGGAGUAACCAGAGGCUAAUGGGCCCUCUGCAAGGUGCCCCAUCCGGAGCAGUCUCUGCAGGAUGUGCUGCAGAUGGCUCGGGCCAGCAGCACUUCCAAGUCACACUUGCAGAGCUGUACCAACAAAACGCCGCGGCGCUCCCUGCGCCCCUCGGAGACAUGGCACCCCACUCUGCCCCGCCCAGCUCCUCAGCGCCAGCCCUGCCCAGGUGAAGCAGCUGGCGGUAGCAGGAGCCUCUACUUCUGACCGGUGAAGUCGGGCUGCCUUUGGAGUGGAGUCUCCCCUGAUCACCCUGUGAGCUGCUUCCCUCCGCCACACUCCUCUGCCACGAUGUCCUGCCCUCACCUUGACCCCAGGAAUGGAGCCGGCCGUCGAUGGACGAAGACCUCUGAAACCCGCGAGCCUUCAAACAAAUCUUUCCUCCGUCACGGUGGUUCUGGUCGGGUCCCUAGUCACAGGACUGAAAUCACUGACUGAAACAGGUGCAGAGUUCAACCUGGCAUUUACCAGGUGAGGCCUCGGGGACCUGCUGGGUGGGGAUCAGUGACUGGUGAAACCACCUUCUCACCCACUCUCACUCACAGAGAGCCUGGGCUCCCUGGCGCCACACAAGGCCACGUGGCCCUCAGCAGGUUGUGUGCCCUGUGCCAGGUGAGCUCGUGUGCCUGCACCCCGAGAUGAGGGGCCCUGCCCCAGCGCCCACUGGAGCCACACCAUCCCACCCUCCCAGGCACGGCGUCCACCGUGCUGCAGUGGGCUGGCCUGGGCUGGGCAUGGUCGCAGUGGCUGUGGGCGCCGUAGGCUCCUGCACCCCUUCCUCCUAGGCAGAGCCGGGGCAUGUGUCCUGCCUCCACUGGGACACUUGGCCAUGGCCCCUGAGGACAGCUCUGAACUUCAGCCGGGUCUGUGUGCAGAGAGAGGAGGCAAGGAGUCCCCUACAGGCUUGGACAUGCCCUUCCGGCUCCCUCCUGGCAGUGCCCAUGUCUCCAGGCAUGUCCUGCACAGGCAGAGGGCGACAGAGGUGGGUGUCCCCACUGUCUCCCACACAGAUGGGCUCCCCUCUGCAGCACCCAUCACCUGCCCACCCACCACUAGGCACACACAUGUACACAGCACACAGAUGUACCCGGCACACGCAUGUACACGGCACACGCAGCAACCCACUCUCACACCCGACUCAGGGCCAGGACAUGGGGGCUGAGUGGAGGUUGAGCUUCUGAGCUUCUGAGGUCCCCACGGCCACGAGGAGGACCAUGGGGUGGGGUCGUCCAACCUGAGAUGUUGUGAGAGGCCAGGUACAGAGGAAGGCUGAGGUCCCACAUGGGGACACGGGACCUGGGCUCACUCUGCCUGUGGGCUGAGAAUGGAGGAGAGAGAACACUUGCUAAGUGGGCGCGCCCGGGUGUGGCCAUGUGGUCCAGGGAGUCUCGCAGCACUGCAGCAGGCCAGGCCAGCCAGGCCGGAGAGACGGACAGCUCGCACAGGCCAAGAGGCUGGCAGGACAGGGCCAGGUGCUGGCGGGCAGAGGGAUGAUGCUCCCCACCUGAGCAGAGGGUGAGGGUGGCUUGAACAGAACGCUGCUCUGUGACAGCUGGCACUGCAGCGAGUCCGCACAAGAGCGAAGCCCUCGGUCCACGGGCAGAGUGGCCACGCCUGUAGUCCCAGUGGCUCCACUGAGGCAGGAAGAUGGGAAAUUCAAAGCUGGCCUCAGCAACUUAGCAAGUCCCUAAGCAAAUUAGUGCAACCGCCUCAAAAUUUAAAAAUAAAUAAGUAAAUACAAGGGGCUGGGGAUGUGGUUCAGUGGGUAAGUGCUCCUGGGUUUGAUCCUGGUACCAAUAAAUAAAUAAGAAAGACCAAAAGCAGAGCUUGGUUUGCCAUGAGGCUGAACCCCUGAGUGGGGCUGAAGUGCCGUCCAGGAGGAAGCACACUCUCUAGGUGGUGCUCCCACUUACGGGGCCCCCAACCCAGGUGGCCUUGGAGUGACAGGCAUGCACGGGGCCAUCAGGGACAGUCUGAGAAGUGGAGUGCCCACAUUCAGAGAUCCUGGGAUACCUGCUGCUGCUGACUGAGAAACGGCAGCCAGAGAAGUAGGAGGUGAGCUGUGCCCAGCAGGGUUGACCCUGAGAAGAAGUGGCGACAGCUCUCAGGUGUGGCUGGGGAGUCCUGGUUAGCCAGCAGGAGCAAGAAGGCACUGCCUCAUCCAUAGAAGUCGGUGGUCGUGGUGGGCAUGCUGGCAGGAGGAGCGGUCCUGAGGUGGGCGGAAGCUACGAGUCUGUCCAGGUUUGGAGGCCAGAGAACUGAGAGGAGGCCAGGAAGGGAACAAGGAAUCCAGAGGCCAGGGAACCAGUUGGUUGUUAAAGUCACAGAGAACAAGGACAGAGGUUAAGUGAAGACAACUGUGACAGACUUAAUUGAGGGGGAGGGAUCUGAGUUAGAAAACCACCCAUCCAUCAUUCAUCCAUCAUCCAUCCAUCAUCCAUCCAUCAAUCAUCCAUCCAUCCAUCCAUCCAUCAGCUCUCCAUUCAUUAUCCAUCAUCCAUCCAUCAUCUCUCCUUCUAUUAUCCAUCAUCCAUCCAUCAUCUCUCCAUCCAUUAUCCAUCAUCCAUCCCUCCACCCUUCAUCCAUUCAUCAUCUAUCUAUCCAUUAUGCAACAUCCAUCCAUCCAUCCAUCUAUCCAUCCAUCCAUCAUCUCUCAAUACAUUAUCCAUCAUCCAUCUACCCAUCCAUCAUCCAUCAUCAUCUCUCCAUCCAUUACCCAUCCAUCCAUCCAUCCAUCCAUCCAUCCAUCUAUCCAUCAUCUCUCCAUUCAUUAUCUAUCAUCCAUCUAUCCAUCCAUCCAUCACCUCUCUAUCCAUUAUCCAUCAUCCAUCCAUCCAUCCAUCCAUUAUCUAGCAUCCAUCUAUCCAUUCAUCCAUCCAUCAAUCAUCUCUCCAUCCAUUAUCUAUCAUCCAUCCAUCCAUCCAUCCAUCACCUCUCCACCCACUAUCCAUCAUCUCUCCAUCCAUUAUCUAUCAUCCAUCCAUCCAUCCAUCCAUCACCUCUCCACCCACUAUCCAUCAUCUCUGCAUCCAUUAUCUAUCAUCCAUCCAUCCAUCCAUCCAUCCAUCCAUCCAUCCAUCACCUCUCCACCCACUAUCCAUCAUCUCUCCAUCCAUUAUCCAUUACUUGCUAUACCCAUCCAUCCAUCAACCCCCCCCAUCCACCCAUUCAACUAUCCACUUACCCAUACACCCACUUGUUCAACAUUCAUAAACCAUCCUCCCACUUAUCUAUCCAUCCACUCUUCCAACCAUUCAUCAUCCUCCUGUCCAUCUAUAUGUCUGUCCUUCUAUCCAUAUGUCCAUUCACUUACUAUCCAUCAUUCACAUUCUGCAUCCAUCCAUUUAUCCAUCCACCCACUCAUUCAUCUAUUCAUCUACCAUUCUUCCAGGUGUCCAUUCAUUUACUAAUAUAUCCUCCAUCAUUCAUCAUUCAUCAUCCAUCCAUCCAUCUAUCCAUCCACAAUCAUCUGUCUAUCCAUCCAUGGGUACAUCCAUCUAGCACGCUUCUACUGACUUAUCCAUCUAUUCCCCAUCAGCCCUCGAUUCAAACUUCUAUCGAUAAUCCACAUGGUUUGCAAAUAGAGCUGAUAUUUACCUAAACUACAUAAGAAAAAACUUAAAAAACUUAAAAACUCAAAAAUACCUAAAAUAUUGAAGCCUGGCAAAGUAAUUACUAGCAGAGUAAGUGUGAGAACUCCUAACUGAUGUUUACAAGACGAUGUAGUGUCCAGCAUCAAGAUACCCUGACCUCAGACCAGGGUUCCGGCCGAGAAGCAGCCUGGGACUUGACAGAGAGCAUCAGGUGCCUGAGCUGGGAGCUGAGAAGCUGCCCUAGGUGGCGGGAUUGCUAACCACCUGUGGGCUCCAGCGCUGCCCGUUGCUCAUUCUGGACAUGGGACCUCACUUAGAACUAGACUCUUGGAAUCCUGGUGCCUUCAGCCUCUGGGGUCUCUGAGCUGCUGGUUGGAGCACCGGGUGCAGAGGCCAGGUGGGGAUGACUGAGGAUUGCACUCUGUGGGAUUUGAAAAGCCUUGGUGUCCAGUCCACAUAGCCAUCUGGGGCCUGGAUGUCCUGAGAUGUAUGUUUUGAGCCCACGGAGCUUUUCCCAGAUGAAGAGGCUGAAGUAAUUCACUCACCCUAAGCAGCCCUGGGCCUUGCAGGGUCAGGGACCGGGCAACACAGCCGCUCUGAGCCUGGGCUUCCUCACCAGCCCGGGGCCCCAGGGCAGAGGCUAGCAUGAGGGGCUUCGUCCUCCUCCCCCUGCAGGGGUGUCCUGGAUCGGGGCGCGGGGAGGAGCCUGUGCCUCAGCCCCAUGGAAAGGAAGCAUCAGCUGUCCUUGGUGGGGCCUGAGUGUCACCUCCUGGGACACCCUGAGGUGGAAGCUCCCUGGCCAGCAGCCACCUAGGUGUGCCAGCUCACAGCCAGUGGCCCCUCGAGCAGCUUUGCCUUCAUCAUUGGGACUUGAUUGGCAGGUCCGUUUGGGACAUUAAGAACAGCUCACUUACAUCCUGCCUGUGGUGCAGGGGUACGGCCUGUGCCCGGGGCCGGGGACUCCUAGUGGAUUACUAUGUGCCACGCUGGCCCUGGGAGCACCGCUGGGCAGGAGAUCUGGACCCGCCGUGACUGGGCCUCCUGCCCAGCGGUCAAUGGAGGCUGCUUCCCCCCGGAAGGGAUGAGGGACCAGCAGGUGCCUGGCCCCGUGUCCAUAGUGGGCAGGCCAGUGUCGAGGGUGGCGCUGGAAGCCUCGUGCCUGCCCAGGGACCUCUGCACCCCAGCACUUGGGCAGAGCAUGAGGAAACAGAUGGCAGGUGCUCUGUGGCCUCCCAGGGGCAGGACCUUUUCACCUUGGCCAGAGCAAGGACCGUGUGGACCAAUGUGCUUGAGGCCCCCUGGUGGGCGAAGGUCAAGGGCAAGCCACACUCCAGAGAUGCUGGGCAAGGCAGCGCCCGAGGCCCCCGGAAGCUGCUCUGGGAAGGAGGUGAUUAUCCAUCACUCAGGCCUGUGUGCUUCUCCUCCUCGGAACUUCUGGGCUUUUCCAGUGACAAGAACACUUAGAGCAGAGUUCAAUUGCCACCCCUCUUUUAGCAGGACCCGUAGUGAGAGAGCUGUACAUUGUUCCUGGGAGGUGUUUCUCAGGGGAGUUACAUGCUCGUCUUCAAUUCUGUCCCCUGAUUGCUGGUUGGAAUGCAAACCUGAUGGUGAGAGUGCCAGCAGCUGCUUUGGGCUAUAAGGAGGAAGCCACCUGCUCAGAGUUGGAAAGAUAAGAGAGGAUGGCUCUAGGCUUCUGGGGUGGCGAGUGCCACGUGUCCUCAGGGUGACUGCCUCAGACUGCCUUUUCCUCCAUGAGAUACGAAAAUACAUUUCCAGCUUGUGUAA